UUCCCUGGAACGGGACGCCGCAGAGGGUGAGAGCCCCGUCUGGCUGGCCACCGAGCCUCUGUAAAGCUCCUUCGACGAGUCGAGUAGUUUGGGAAUGCUGCUCAAAAUGGGAGGUAUAUGUCUUCUAAAGCUAAAUAUUGGCCAGAGACCGAUAGCGCACAAGUAGAGUGAUCGAAAGAUGAAAAGCACUUUGAAAAGAGGGUUAAACAGUACGUGAAAUUGUUGAAAGGGAAGCGCUCAUGACCAGACUUGGGCUUGGCGGAUCAUCCGGCGUUCUCGCCGGUGCACUCCGCCUCGUCCAGGCCAGCAUCAGCUCGCGCCGGGGGACAAAGGCUUCGGGAAUGUGGCUCCUCCGGGAGUGUUAUAGCCCGUUGCGUAAUACCCUGGGGCGGGCUGAGGUUCGCGCAUCUGCAAGGAUGCUGGCGUAAUGGUCAUCAGCGACCCGUCUUGAAACACGGACCAAGGAGUCGUCUUCGUAUGCGAGUGUUCGGGUGUCAAACCCCUACGCGUAAUGAAAGUGAACGCAGGUGAGAGCUUCGGCGCAUCAUCGACCGAUCCUGAUGUUCUCGGAUGGAUUUGAGUAAGAGCAUACGGGGCCGGACCCGAAAGAAGGUGAACUAUGCCUGUAUAGGGUGAAG
rnacentral:rRNA from 1 species